CGAACGGAUCGCAUUAUGGUCAUUUUAUAUGGCUGGCGAUAGAUCAUUCAAGUUUCUGACCUAUCAGCUUUCGACGGUAGUGUAUUGGACUACCGUGGCAGUGACGGGUAACGGGGAAUUAGGGUUCGAUUCCGGAGAGGGAGCCUGAGAAACGGCUACCACAUCUAAGGAAGGCAGCAGGCGCGCAAAUUACCCAAUCCUGACUCAGGGAGGUAGUGACAAGAAAUAACAACACUGGAAAUUUUAUUUCUAGUGAUUGGAAUGAUGGGAAUUUAAACCCCUUUCAGAGUAACAAUUGGAGGGCAAGUCUGGUGCCAGCAGCCGCGGUAAUUCCAGCUCCAAUAGCGUAUAUUAAAGUUGUUGCAGUUAAAAAGCUCGUAGUUGGAUGUCUGCUGGAAGCAAUCAGUCCGCCCUAUUUGUAGGGUGUGCACUUGAUGAAUUCUGGCAUCUAUAUCCCAAUAAUAUGAUGGUGUAUACCCUGUGUACACCCAUCUAUAUUGGGAUAAUACCGUUACUUUGAGAAAAUUAGAGUGUUUGAAGCAGGCUAAUUGCCUUGAAUACUGCAGCAUGGAAUAACAAUAUAGGAUUUCGGUUCUAUUUUGUUGGUUUCUAGGACUGAAAUAAUGAUUAAUAGGGACAGUUGGGGGCAUUCGUAUUUAACUGUCAGAGGUGAAAUUCUUAGAUUUGUUAAAGACGAACUACUGCGAAAGCAUUUGCCAAAGAUGUUUUCAUUAAUCAAGAACGAAAGUUAGGGGCUCGAAGACGAUCAGAUACCGUCGUAGUCUUAACCAUAAACUAUGCCGACUAGAGA
rnacentral:rRNA from 1 species